rnacentral:lncRNA from 1 species
ACAGGGCUGUAGGCAAGAGUUGCUUUGGGCUGUGGGGACAUCAGAUGGAGCUGUUACUGAUGGGGGUUGAGUGGAGAUCUCUCUGGUUGCUCUAUGGAAGGCUGAUGGUGGAAGGAGGAUUCUGGAGGUCUGCUGUGUGUGGGGAGGGGGUUCCAUCCAUGCCCCAAAUUUACUCAGUGGCUACAGGGUCUUGGGAAGUCACCCUCCCCAGUUUGUUUUCUUCUGCUCAUGUUUAGCUUAAGAGACCAUGAUUGCUCUCAGGGAGUUAUAUCUGCAUGUAUGUCUGCAUAGCAUGUACCUUCCUGGUACCUCUGGAAGCCAAAAGAAGGCCUCAGCUAUCCUGGAACUUGAGUUACAGAUGGUUGUGAGCCACCACAUAGGAAUGUUGGGAACUGAACCUGGGUCCUCAGGAAGACUGGCCAGUGUUCUUAACUGCUGAGUCAUCUCUCCAGCCUUGCACAGGUAAAGCUCUCCGAGAUCAGAGAAGAAGAUUAAAGACAUUCUGCUGAUAUGUUUAAUGGCCCCAGUAGCCCUGACUCAUAGUCAAAGCUGUGUGCGAACAUUGUUCCCCGCUCCGCUCUGCUCCCUGUUGGAUGACUCUUGUCCUUUUGAAGUACUUGGUGAUUUGGGGUUCCCAUGACAGAGAUCUAGGCAGGUUUAGCAAUAAUAGCCCCACACAGGCCGCUCUCCCAUUUGGUUGCAUGCAUUUUUAAUGUGUGCGAUUAUGCAAACCACAGUAAAAUGUAAGGCUUAUGUACAUCCUUACAUAAAUUAUUAUAAAGUCACAGGCAUUGUUCCAUUAUGUUCAUUAACUGGGGAUAUUGUCUUUAAAGUAUGUAUGGAAAAAUUACAUGUAUAAAUAUGUAUCAUAUAUAGCCUAAUAGACAGUGUUAAGCAAGGCAGUCUGGGAAAAUGUGAAGAUAAAUUUACUAUAGACUGCAUUCUGUAAGUAUACCAUAUGGCAAGUACAUUUGUAUUGUAAAACAUCUAGUAUAUCAGAAAUAAAUGAUUUCUAAAUGAA